GAGCAGUCUUCAAGUGCAUUCAAGAGCUCUACCAACUCCUUGAGGAGUGAAGCAACAUUGGCAAAGAAGAGAAGAGCAAUCUACAAAGCGAUAAAUAUUUUCUUACCUCUUCUUUAAGUACAUUAUUGUAUUACUUGCUCAUUUAGGAGUUUUAAACUUCUUCUUUACUUGUUUUUUGUAAGAUUUGUUGGUGAGCCCAAAAAAUCAAUGGUGUAGGUUGUUGGUGAGCCCGUAAAACCAAUGGUUAGGUUAUUGGUGAUCUCGUAAAACCAAUUGUAGGGUUUUUGGAUUGUGAGCCUGGUAAAACAAUCCAACUGUAAUCCGCGGGAUUAUAGUAAAUUACCAAGGGGAUGCUUGAGGAGUAGACGUAGGUGCUUUGGAGAGCACCGAACCACUAUACUUCUUGUGUGUUUGCAUUGUGUUCUUUUUGAUUCCACUGCACCUAUAUAAUUGACACAAGCUAAACUACUCAUACAUCUAUCAUCUAAAUUAAGGUCCUAAAAAUUUGGAAAACCCAAUUCGCCCCCCCUCUUGGGUUGUUAUCUUAGGCAACAAGUGGUAUCAAAGCAGGUGCUCUUGUAUUAAUUGUUGAUCAACAAUUAAGAGCUAAAAAUCAUGACAACUCAUAUAGGUAGCUCUCUAUCUGAGGGACAAUCAACAAAUAGACCACCCCUAUUUAAUGACACUAAUUACACGUAUUGGAAAGCACGAAUGAGGAUAUUUAUACAAGCAUUAGACUAUGACAUAUGCGGAAUCAUAGUCGAAGGACCAUACCCACCCACCAUUAGCUUAGAUGGCAUGGUCAUCCCUAAGCCACAAAAGGAAUGGGAUGAUAAUGAUAAGAGGAUGGCUCAACUUAAUGCCAAAGCCAUGAAUGUCCUCUAUUGCUCACUAGAUGCAAAUGAAUUUAACAGAAUAUCAACAUGUAAUUCAGCUAAGGAAAUUUGGGAUAGAUUAGAGGUUGCACAUGAGGGUACAAACCAAGUUAAGAAAUCUAAGAUAAACAUGCUAGUACACAAAUGCGAAUUAUUUAAAAUGGAACCCUCUGAAAGUAUAACUGAAAUGUUUACAAGAUUCAUCGACAUAAUCAAUGGUUCAAAAGCUUAGGCAAAUCUUAUUCUAACUCUGAAUUGGUACGCAAAAUUCUCAAGUCUCUACCGCGUAUGUAGGAGGCCAAAGUGACUGCAAUUCAAGAGGCGAAGGACCUCAAUACAUUUUAGCUAGAAGAGCUUCUAGGGUCCCUCAUGACCCAUGAGCUAACAAUGAAGCAAAACUCGAAAGAAGAAGUCAAGAAAAAGAAGACAAUUGCCUUGAAGUCCACAAUCCCUAAAGAGGACAGUGAGUCGGAUGAGUCCGAUGAUGAAGAGGGGUACGAUGAAGAGGAAGUAGCGAUGCUUGCCAAGAAGUUCAGAAAAUUCAUAAGAAAUAAGAAAGGACUUCAUAAAAGGAAGCCAUUCUCCAAAGGCAGCACUAGCAAAGAAAAGAGUAAGGAUAAAGAAAAGGAAAGGAAAGUGCCAAUCUGUUAUGAAUGCAAUAAGCCCGGGCACUUCAAAAUAGAUUGUCCACAAUUAAAAUGGAUGGCAAGGAAACUUAAGAAGAAAAUUCUCAUGGCUGAAUGGAGUGAGAGUGAGGAAUCAAGCUCAGAAGAGGAAGAUCAGCAACAUACAGCUCAAAUGUGCUUCAUGGCAAACGACGAUCAGGUAGAUGCUGAACUUGAUUGUGAUUUUACUGUAGAUGAAUUGCAUGAUGCUUUUCUAGAUCUUAUGGAAGACCACAAGAAACUUAUUCAUAAAAAUAAAACUUUAAAGAAUGAAAAUCAGACACUUAUGUAAGAUAAGCUAAAACUAUCUAAUGAUUAUGAAACAUUAAGUAAGAAGUUUACUAAUGAAACUAAAAAUCUAAUUAAUGAAAACAUUAAACUAAAAGAAGAUGUCGAAAAAUAUAAAUUCCUAGUAGAUAAAUUUACACUCAGCUCAACUAAAUUAAACAUGAUUCUUGAUAGUCAAAGAGCUGUUUAUGAUAAAGCAGGAUUAGGGUAUAAAACCAACAAAAAGCAAAAAUAUUUGAAGAAUAUGUUUGUAAAAUCCAAAAAUGAAAAUACUACUUGUUAUUGCUGUAACAAAAUAGGACAUAAAGCACAUGAAUGUGAUUUUAGGAAACUUAACUAUAACAACAAAUUAAAUAAAAAAGGCAAACCAAGAUUUAAGAAAAUCUGGGUUCCAAAAGGAACCAUAACUACUACCUUAAAGGACCCAACAUAGUUUGGGUACCUAAAAUGGAUCCUUGAUUUUGCUUGUAGGUAUGUCUUACAACUAAUGAGAAGAAUCGACUAUGGUAUCUAGAUAGUGGUUGUUCAAGACAUAUGACAGGUGAUAAUGAUCAAUUCAUCACCGUGAAAUCUAAAGAUGGUGGAGUGGUAACCUUUGGUGACAAUGGCAAAGGUCACAUUAUUAGAAAGGGUAAAAUCCGUAUCACUCUAUCUACGUUUAUAGAUGAUAUUUUAUUGGUUGAUGGUCUAAACAUAACUUGCUAAGCAUAAGUCAAUUUUGUGAUAAAGAUUUUGAAGUUUUUUUCAAAUCUUUAGCAUGUAUAAUCACUAGUCCCAAAGAUAAUAGUAUUGUACUCAUAGGACAUAGACAUGGACACAUUUACAUCGUAGACCUUGAUGAUCUAGCCAAGAAGAAUGGAUUAUGCCAAAUUGCCAAUGAGGAUAAGAUAAGUGAAACUAGUUGGCUAUGACACCGAAGAUUAGGUCACGCUAGUAUGGAAUUAAUUUCAAAAUUAGUUAAAAAGGAGUUAGUGAAAGGUUUACCAAAUUAACUUAUGAAAAGAAUAAAAUUUAUGGUGCAUAUCAAUUAGGUAAACAAACAAGGUCAUCUUUCAAAUCUAAAAACAUAGUCUCAACUACUAGGCCAUUACGGCUCAUCUACAUGGAUUUAUUUGGACCAACUAGAACUGCAAGUCUAGGAGGCAAAAAGUAUGGACUAGUAAUUGUAGAUGAUUUUUUAAGAUAUACAUGGGUGUCAUUUUUUGCACAUAAAAAUGAAACGUUUUCAGCCUUUUUGAAAUAUUACAAAAAUGUUAUAACUAAAAAGAACAUCACUUUAAUCUCAAUUCGUAGUGAUCAUGAAACCAAAUUUGAAAAUCAACACUUUUAAGAAUUUUGUAAUGAAAAUGGAAUUUUUCAUCAAUUUUCAGCUCCUAGAACCUCUCAACAAAAUGAGGUUGUUGAAAGGAAGAAUAGGGCCUUGGUAGAAAUGGCUCACACUAUACUAUGUGAGUCAAAUCUUCCAAAGUAUUUUUGAGCUGAAGCUGUAAACACCUCCUGCCAUAUCUUAAACUGUGUUUUAAUUCGUCCAAUAACCAAGAAAACUUCCUACGAACUUUGGAAAAAUAAGAAGCCAAUUGUCAAAUAUUUUUGAGUUUUUGGUUGUCGAUGUUAUAUUUUAAACAAUGGCAUGAAGAAUUUAAGUAAAUUUGAUGGUAAGUCAGAUGAGGGUAUUUUCUUAUGAUACUCUAUAUCUAGCAGGACAUACAGAGUCUUCAACAAGAGCUCUAUGGUUGUUGAAGAAUCAAUCAAUAUUAUAUUUGAUGAAACUAACGGUGAGUCCUCUAGGAAGGAAAGUAUUUUUGAUGAUGAUACAGGAACAUUCGAGCUUGAGAAAUUAAACAUUCAUGAUACACCAAAUCAUGAACAAGAGGAUACAUCAAAGGAAGGUGAGGAAGAAAAGGAAGAUGAUCAUAGUUCACCACAACAUCAGGAUCUACCUAAAGAAUGGAGGUAUGUACAUGGUCACCUCAAAGACUUAAUAAUAGGUGAUCUAUCACAAGGGUUAAGAACUCGAUCCUACCUAAGAAACAUUAAUAACUAUCUUACCUUUGUAUCUCAAAUAGAACCUAAAACUUAUGAAGAAGUGGAACAUGAUGUAAAUUGAAUCAAAGCUAUGUAAGAAGAAUUGAAUCAAUUUAAAAGAAAUAAUGUAUCAACAUUAAUUGAAAGACCUAAAAACAAAACUAUUAUUGGAACCAAAUGGAUUUUUAGAAACAAACUUGAUGAAAAUGGAAUAGUAACUAGAAACAAGGCUAAGCUAGUGGUUAAAGGUUAUAAUCAGAAAGAAAGGAUUGACUUUGAGAAAAUCUAUGCCCCAGUUGCUAGGUUAGAAGCCAUUAGAUUACUACUUACAUUUGCUUGCUAUAUAGAUUUUAAAUUAUAUCAAAUGGAUGUAAAGAGUGCCUUUCUAAAUGGUUACAUAACAGAGGAAGUAUAUGUAGAACAACCUCUUAGUUUUGAAGAUCAUGAAUUUUCCGAACAUGUAUUUAAAUUGCAUAAGGCACUUUAUGGUUUGAAACAAGCUCCUAGAGUUUGGUAUGAUAGACUAAGUAAAUUCUUGCUAGAUAAUAAAUUCAAUAGAGAAAAUGUAGAUAAAAUACUAUUCAUUAAGAGAAAGAUAAAAAUCUUCUUGCAGUGCAAAUAUAUGUAGAUGACAUAAUAUUUUGUGCUACUAACAAUUCUUUGUGCAAAGAGUUUGCUGAGUUAAUACAGGAUGAGUUCGAGAUGAGCAUGAUGGGAGAACUCAAUUUUUUCCUCGGACUCCAGAUCAUGCAAACUAAGGAAGGGAUCUUCAUUCACCAAACUAAAUAUACAAAGGAAAUCCUCAAGAAGUUUGGGAAAGAAGAUUACAAGGAAAUGGGAACUCCGAUGAAUUCUACUAGUAAGUUGGACAAAUAUGAAAAAGGUAAGAACAUAGAUACUAAACUUUAUAGAGGUAUGAUUGAAUCCUUGCUUUACCUUACUGCUAAAGAAUCACAUUUAUCUACUGUUAAAAGAAUUCUUAGGUAUCUAAGAAGUACAUCUAGCAUAGAAUUAUGGUACUCUGGAGAUUCCUAUUUUGAACUUAUUGCAUACUCAGAUGCUGACUUUGCUGGAUGCAAACUAGAUAGAAAGAGCAUUAGUGGGAUAUGUCAAUUCUUAGGUGCUAAUCUAGUCUCAUGGUUUAGCAAAAAGUAAAAUUUAGUUGCACUGUGAAUGGCUGAGGUCGAAUACAUUGCAGCUGGAAGUUCCUGUGCUCAAGUAUUAUGGCUUAAACAACAAUUAGAGGAUUAUGGAAUUAAGCUUGAUAAGAUUUUCAUAAAAUCUGAUAAGACAAGUGCAAUCAAUUUAACCAAAAAUCCAGUACAACACUCUAAAGCAAAACAUAUUGAAAUACGAUAUCACUUUAUAAAAGAUUAUGUGCAAAAUGGGAAUAUAAAUAUUGAACAUGUAUGCAUGAAAAAGCAAUUGGCUGAUAUAUUUACAAAAUCUCUUAGUGAAGAUAGAUUUUGUAUGCUUGAAGAGAAUUAGAAGUAUGUGACCCCUUUGCUUAGAGAAGGACAAAUGUUUCAUGAUACGCUCCUCUCAUCUCCUAAAUCCUAUGAAACAUUGGUCAAAUAAUUGAUUUAGAGAUUCCUCUCAUGAAUAUCCAUGACCCUUGAAAAUUUGGUAAGGAUCAGAAAAUUGAAAGAUCAAAAAAAAAAGGGUUUGAACUCGGGUCGACCCGAGAUCCCAGAGGGGUUGACCCCACGCGAGCCGAGCCAAGCAAAAGCUGGGGUUGACUCGAUGGCGGGUCCCUUAUUUUUAAGGGCCGGCCGUGAGCUAGGUUUUGGGCAUUCCACUCUUUCUAAAUCCCUAGAAACCGUAUUCCCUCUCCUCCAAUCACUUCCAAUCGCCGGUAAGAUCUAAUUCCACCCUCUCCCAAGCCGGUAGAUCAAAUCUGAAGGAAGAUUAGGUCAAGAUGGGACCCAAACGAUCGGUGGCCAAGUGAGCUAGGAGAGUAUAUGCCCAUCUACAGUUGAAGAGCAAGCUAGAGGGCCAUCUACAGUUCCUCCACGAGCUGAAUCGCGAGCAGAGCCUCCCCAACUGCCUUCCCCUUCGGUUUUGCUUGCCAGAUAUGCGGGGAGACCGGUCACGAUAGGUAGACGUAUAAACUUUGAAUUUUUGGAUCAAGAAGGUUUUAGAUUGAGUGGUUGGAUCAAGCAACAGGGAUGGAAGUACCUCUGCUCCCUAGAUCUAAAGACCUACCCGGGAUUAUUCCGUGAGUUUUAUGCUACCCUAUGGGUCGGUACGGGAGGGCUCGUGUCCGAGGUCCGUGGGGUUGAGAUUCAUGUUACUGAGGAGAGCCUAGGACAUCUACUCCAUCUCCCAUAUGAGGGUGCUAUACCAGAUAGACCAGAGGAUAGGAUUAGGGCUCUACAAAUGAUCAUGGAGAGAGAUUUGAUAGACUACUCUAAUGAUUUAGUAGCUAGUUCCUUCUCUGCUGAGAUGAGAUUGCUUCAUAACUUUAUAGGUCGGAUACUAUUUCCGAAGAGUGAGAGAUUCGACCAUGUGUCUGAGAAAGAUAUGGCAAUUAUGAAGCAUGUUAUUCAGGGCAUUCCCCUGAAUCUUCCGGCUAUGAUGAUCAGACAGAUGCGUGAGGCCGUGACUAGGGCGAGGGCUUCUUUACCCUAUGGUAUGGUACUCAUACUGAUUUUUAGACAGUAUGAUAUUUGUCUAGUUGGAGAGAUCUCCAGAGAUUUACUGCAUACCGAUACCUACACUACACGAUCACUUGUGCGCAUGGGCUACAAGAAGCUGAAUGGUCAUUAGGUGCGCGGUGGUGCAGGGCCACAGGCACCAGAGCCUGAUGUACCAGAGCCCGAAGACUCCAUUCCAGAGCCCGAGAUGCCUGCUGACCAUCCUUCAUCACAUGAAGAGGCAGGACCGUCAUCUUCUGCACCUACUGGAUACUAGAAGGAGUACUGGAGUAGGAUGACUGAGAUAGUAAUAGCUUAGGUGAUGGGUCUCUCCGAUAGGAUGAUGAGUCGGUUGGAUAGUAUUACGACUGAGAUCAGGGGAGUAUCCGCUUAGGUGACGAGCCUCAUGGACCGGAUGACUACUUUAGAUAGAGAGUAUCAUGGCCCCUCUGGAGCUCGAGCAGCUGAGUCAGAGGUCUCGACACAGAGCCAGCCAGUUCAUAGGCUCACAGACCAUCCCAGUCGUAUUAGACUAGACCUCCUCUUGCCACCUACAUUAGGAGAUCUAGAGUCAGAUCACAGCCAUUGGAUGCUUCUAGGCCUACUGAUAGCACUACAGGAGCUCAUUUAGACUAGUGCCUAGAGUCAUUCUAGUCUCUAUGUAUUUUGCCUUUUGUUGAUUGUAAACGAUAUUAUCCUUUAUGGCAUUUUGGAUUACUAGAACAUUGUAGUUUUGGCUUUUAUGAAAAACAAUGUCUUAUUUUGAAUUAUGAUCUUUGUCAUUGGCAUACUAUGCACCUUUGUAUUACAUAUUCUUUUUGAUGAUGACAAAAAUGGGAAGAAAAAUAUAAGAAAAUGUAGAAACAUAUAAGAGUGAAAUAUAUGCAAGAUACUCUAUAAGACUCUAUAAGAAAGAAAAAUAUGAAGAGUUUAUAAGGAGACAAAUAUAAGAAGAGAAAUCAAUAUUUAAGGGGGAGAACAUUGACAACAUGCAAAUUUGAAUUUUCAUUAAAUAAACAUCUGAAUUUUGAAAUUUUGAUACAUGAGAAUUCAUAAUACAUAACCUAUGGAACAUGAAAACUCAUAAUGCAUAAGUCUAGAUAUUCUAGAAGGCAUGAUACAUAAGCUUUUGGCACACAACUAUAGAAAGUUUCAUUGCCUUGAUACAUAACUUAAAACUCUUAAUUUGGCACAAAUUCUUGAAUAUUUUGACUCAAUGAAACAUAAGAGAAAGGGGGAGUAAAGCUAAAACAGAUUUGGCAUCAAUUUGAUUAUGAUAGGGGAGCUCUUGAUUCUUUGAUACGUACUCCAAAAUUUGAUUAUUUUGAAAAUCUUGAACCAAAAGCAUCUUAUGAUGUUAAAUCAAAUCUUUCUUAUGAAUGGCAAAUCGACAAUAAGUAAUGUUUUGUAAUCAUCAAAAAGGGGGAGAUUGAGAAUCAUAAUGUUAUUUUGAUGUUUACAAAACCAUGAAGGCCAUAUGGAAGUGCUAAUGCUAUUAACAAACUUAAUCAAGUAAAUAGACACUCAAGGAAGAGAGAAGUGAUACAUUCUCGAUACAUCCUACAAUCCUGAUACAUUUAUGAUAUACUCCUACAAUCUAAUUUUCAGUUUGACCAAACUAAGGAUGAAGUUUUCUUCAUAAGGGGUAUUUUCGUAUUUUUGUUAGUUAAAAAAAUGAAACUUGAAUGUGCCAUUCAUCCUAAUUUAAUUGGAAUAUCUUUUUAUUUCUUUAAUAUGUUAAACUAACUUUCAAGUGCAGAAAAAUAAGUUUGGAGUCGACCCUGAUACAUUUGGCGUGACUUGGCACAAUGUGGCACACCCUUGAAACACUUGGCACAGAAGAAAUGAAGUCGACCCUGGCACAAUUUGGCACAUUCUGGUAUAAAAGGCACAGAGCUUGGGUCGACCCUAAGAAACCAUGAGUCGACCCCAGCCAAAAGAGCUAGAAAAACAAGUCUCUGAAAUUUCGGAGAGGGCCGACCCCACUGUAGCUUGAGUUGACCCCAGGAAAGCAUGAGUCGACCCAGCCUAAAGAGUCAGAAAAGCAAGUCUCUGGAAUCCUGAGAGGGCUGACCCUAGAUAAGCUUGAGUCGACCCCAUUGUAGCUCGAGUCGACCCCAGCCCAAAAUGACAAAAAAAACAAGCUUCUGAAAUUCCUGAGAGGGCCGACCCCAGCCAAGCUUGAGUCGACCCCACUGUAGCUGGAGCCGACCCCAAGUAAACAUCAGCCGACCCAAGUCUGUGGAAUAGUAACUUGGGUCGAUCCUAAAUUUGCUCAGGUCGACUACAGCACGACUGACAGCAUAACGGCUAGUUCUAGAGAAGUACAAUUUGAGUCUCCAACGGCUAGAAACGGCUAGUUUCUCCAUUCCAAUAGUUAGGGAGUGACUAUUUGAGGUUGGAGAAGUAUUUAAGAGGUACUAUUCAUCAGGGGAAAGCAUCUUAUGCAAAAAUCAAGAGUGUAUUCAAGAGAAAAGAAAGUUCAAGUGUUCUUCAUCAAUUUGCUUCAUUCAAAUUCUGAAAAAAAGUGGUGAGCAGUCUUCAAGUGCAUUCAAGAGCUCUACCAACUUCUUGAGGAGUGAAGCAACAUUGGCAAAGAAGAGAAGAGCAAUCUACAAAGCGAUAAAUAUUUUCUUACCUCUUCUUUAAGUGCAUUAUUGUAUUACUUGCUCAUUUAGGAGCUUUAAACUUCUUCCCUACUUGUUUCUUGUAAGGUUUGUUAGUGAGCCCAAAAAACUAAUAGUGUAGGUUGUUGGUGAGCCCGUAAAACCAAUGAUU
rnacentral:lncRNA from 1 species